rnacentral:rRNA from 1 species
AUGAGUUGUUUGAGUUGGAACUGCCGGGGGCUUGGGAACCCCGAGGCAGUUCGAGAGCUACGCAAGAUUGUGCGGCAGGAAGUUCCCGCCCUACUGUUUGUUAUGGAAACCAAAAUUAGGGCUAAGAGAGUUGAGUUACUGCAGAGACAGUUGGGCUUUGCAGGCUGUUUUGCGGUUGACAGCAAUGGACUAAGUGGCGGCAUUGGUCUAUUCUGGUUAGGUGACGUCAGUGUUGAGUUAAAAAACUAUAGUGCUAGCCAUAUUGAUGUCAUGGUUAGGAAAUCUGAUGAUGUUAGCUCUCCUGCUUGGAGGCUUACUGGUUUCUAUGGAGCUCAAAGGGCAGAAAAUCGACACCAUAGCUGGAGGUUCAUGAGAACUUUGCACCAGAUCGAACACGAAGCUUGGCUUUGCGUGGGAGAUUUUAAUGAGACCAUGUAUGGGACAGAACAUUUUAGCCGUUCGGAAAGGCCGGAGUGGCAGAUGAGGGCUUUCAGAGAUGUUAUCAAGGAGUGCUCAUUUCAGGACCUAGGCUGGUCAGGUGUGCCGUUCACAUGGGAUAAUGGGCAGUAA